GCACAAGGAGCCCGCAGCCUUUUGGGGUGGCGGAAAACGCUCAGGGUCUGUCUUGUGUCCCUUCCCGAGGCCGCCGGGAAUCUGCUCUGUGCCACUGAGCUGUCCCAUCAGCUGCUGGGGGCAAGUUAUAGGAACUUGUAAAGAUCGGAUCUUUCUCCUUCCACAGCAUUCUCCAAGUUAAAGUACAGUGAUUUUUUUAAAGUGAUGUUCUUCUUUCUGAAGAGGAGCAGAAGAGUUUGUCCUGGAUUUUGCUCCGUGGCAGGGUGGUUAGAUUUGUACUUGGAUUUGAGCAGCUUGUUCAAAAUGAGCCUGGAAAAGGUUCAGAUGCCUAUGUGACAUGUGAGAGCAGAGAUCACUGCUCUUCACCCUGAGACUGGCACAAUUAACAGAACCAUCUGUGAAAACACUUCUCUCCUUCUGGGAUGGACUGCGGGAAGAGCAUGGAAGGUGUCCCAGCUCUUGAGUGAACCAGCCUGUGCUCAUGCUGCAAAACAGGUGGCUCCAGGCACAUGAGUGCAAGAGUCUUCAUCACUGCUGUCAAGAUACCACUGCUGAAGUGUCAUCCAGAUGGCUACAGAAGGAAGAAAGCAUCUUAUUGGGAGGGGAGGUCAGUACUGCUCUGUACAGUUAAGUUCCUCCAGAUGCAUCUACUGUGGCAGGCGGAAUGUUGGACAAAGCAAAACCUGGAGCCUAAUGUGAACCACAGCUAAAAAAGAGUGCAUCCAACCCCUGCUCCUGGAUGUGCUCACCAAAUCCAGGCACUGUGUGACACCAUCAGCCCUUGGUGCUCUUCAGGCUAGUCUAUGUUGCAGGCACAAACACUUCUAAGUCCAUGUUGAGGCAUAGCAGGAGUCUGAAUUUUCUCCUUUCUUUGCCUCACAUCUUACUUCAAAUUUGUGCCUGACACAGAGAUGAGGUCUGAGGCAGGAUGCAGCUCGUGAGUGGACUUGGGUCCUUACUUAAGUGCCAAAGGAGACCUUAACUAAUGCAACUGGGAAUAUCAGCAGAGCUUGGGGGCACCAAAAGCCAUUUCAAACCUGGUAGAGAAGUAUGGGGAAUCACUUGUGUUCAGGAAAACCUGCUCAUUUCUUCCCAAGCUGUUCAUUGUGCUAAUUAAAGGCAUUGCCUCUCCCACAAAAUUUGCCCUAUUUACUAUACUGAACCUUUGGGCUUGUACAGUGCUAGGAGUAGCAAGGCACUGGAAGACUUCACUGUAAUAUAAAUCAUAAAAUAGUAAUAUAUGAAAACCUGAUGUUGGCAUUUCCAGCACUGGAAAAGAUUCAUAGCAUGAUUUACGGACCUACCUUGCACUGAGUAGCAGCUAUUUUAUGAAUCACUAUUUCUGUCACAUUGAUUUAAAACAAACCUUGGCAUUACCAUCCCAUGGCAGUCUGGUUGCUGUGAGUAACCUGGAUGUUUUCAAGGGACUCAUGUUUCAUUUGAAUGCUUUUUACCAGGCUGCAAGAAGGACAAAGAACUGUAGGUUGAAGUAACGUGAUGAAAAAUAUCUUGUAUAAGAACAAGACAUGGUAGCAACCAAAUUAUUUCAGAGGCAGCAGGGAAAUCACUUAGUUGAUUAAAUCUUAAUUCCAAGAGUCCUUUAGUUGUGUAAGAUAGCCAAGGUUCCUACCAAAAAUAACAUGGGUUCUAUGGGACGUAUCCCUGUUGCAAAGCUGCAAUUCGAGACCACACAGGGUAUACCAAAGUAGCCCACACAGCACCUACAUUCAGGCAACUGAAUCUCACAAACCCUUUUUGUCUUCUCAAGUGUUGCCUUGAUCUUGUUCAGGGAGACUGCCCCUCUGAGGAGCUGUCCCUUUCCCCUCAGAAGUGCACAGUUGAAGUCAAAGUCCUGGGAGCCUGGAGGGAUUCAGUGGGUGCUGGGUGUGUGAAAAGCUGCUCAGCCAGGAGACAGACUAUGCUAAUCUCUGCUGAAAACUCCUCCAGAGCAUACUGGCCUGGCUCAAGAGCACUCCUUUGCCCUCUGUGGUGGUCCUGCAGUUACACUUAAUAAAAUAUUCUUGUGUGGUUUUCUUCUAGUGAUGUCCUGAAGAGCGUAAAUGUGCUCCAUGUAUGCAGAAAGAGACAAACCUCUGUUAGACCCUGCUGGAAUUUACUGGAAAAAUUUAAUUGAAACCUGGGACCACAUGUCACAUCCUUUCUCCAGUGCCACAUUUCAGGACCAAGUAGUUCUUGCUUAAUAUUUGCUGUUUUUUUCCCUAUUGGGAUUACUGUAUUGUCAUAUUUAAAACAUGUAGUGCUCUAGAGGAAAAGCAUCUGCAAAUUCUGGGGUACUCCGACUGCUGUCUUGAGUGUCUGGCAUUGUGAGAAUAACCAACAGUCUGAUGGUUUCAUUGCCCUGAACCUUUUCCCCUGCAAAAUUCCUCUGCCCAUGAGACAGCUUUUUAGGUCAAUAUGCUCAUGUACAUAGCACAGAAGGACCAUGGGUGGCCAGGCAGAGCAGUGUCACUAAGCUCCCGUAUGUAAAACUCCUGGGAUGCACAAUCAGAAGCUGUUACUAAGAAAGAACAGCAGGUAGGACUGGGAGCUUCUUCCUGGACUUCACUUUACUCCCAAUUUUAUCUCACUUCUCCCCCCAGGGUCACAGGGGGAUGAGGAAUGGAACUGUUCAGUUCAUCACAUACUGUACACUGCUCCUUCCUCCUCAGGGUGAGGACUCCUCACACCCCUCCUCUGCUCCAGCAUGUGGUCCCUCCCACAGGAGACAGUCUUCCACAGGUCCUUUCCAUGGGCUGCAGUUCUUCACAAACUGAAGACCAGAAUGUCAGUGAAAUGUAGACAGAGGGGAAAAUAUGGAAUAUAUAUGUCCUUCUCCUUAAAAUAGUCUCUGCAGGUAACUGUUGGAUGUAAGACUGGAGAGCAGAAAGUUACAGAACACAUAAUUUUGUCAUGACUGGAGAAAAAAAUAUGGCAUGUAAAUUUUCAGGUUAGUUUUCUUCUUCCAAAAUUUUUGAAACAAAAUUCCUGCUUUGCACUAAUAUAUAUGGUACUGAUACUGUUCUUCAGAAUGGUUCCAGUGGGGUCUAAACAUGAUGUAAGGUUACUCACACUACCUAAGGACAGGAUCAAUCACUACAACCAGCCCACAAAGUCUUGCAAUUGUUUUUCAAUUGAAAAUGAUUUUCUGAUUAAAUAAAUUUUUGAGAAGGUGUUUGCCUCUAUUUCAGAGAAUGCAAUUCCUUUUCCAAUAUGUGGUUUCAUUUUUUUUCUGUAAAAAUCAGAAUUUUGAUCCAAAUGCUUCUUGAUUGAAGCUCUGGAAGUUUAAAAGUUAUAUUGUGAUUAAAUUGAAUAAACUUUGUUUUUAAAGAAUAA